rnacentral:lncRNA from 7 species
AGAUCCCAAGAAGCCCUGGGGAUGACCACAGACAGUGGAAUACACACUGCUUAUGCUGUUGAGCAUAACAGCACGAGGACUACGCUUUCAUGCUGGCCUGAUUCUGUCCCUUUGCCAGUAGUUGGAUUCAGUGACACAAGUCCCACCAUCUACAGGAUGUCAAGUGAGACAAUCAGAUGGCAAAUUCAAAACCUGUGGGAUUCUUCAUAGAGUCUCCAGUUAAACUUUGACAGGUUUGGGAUGUUAUAGAACUUUCUUGACCAAACCACACAUUAGGCAAAACUAUUGAAGGAGAAGGUGAUCCUGGAGUAUCCUGAACUUUGGAUUGCUGGAGGCUGUGAGAGAAUAUCAAACAGAAACAGAAAACCAAGGGAAAAACAAUGUUUUGGCCCAUCACCAACCUGCUGAAAAUCUGCUGUCUCCUUCUGGCAUGCCUCCAGCCUCCUCUCUAUGAUGCCUGUCUUCCUCUUUCAAAAAAAGGAGAACUGUACUUGCGUACAUUAUUCAAAACAACAUUGUAUUCUAGAAUAUUUCCAUGUAUGCUGAUUUCUGUUCCAUUUUUUCUCUGAAAAAGAAAUACAUACACACAUAUAUAUACAUAUAUGUAUUUAUAAUGAAAGAAGGAAGCAAGAUAAUCUCAGAAAUAAUUUGCUUUUCAGAUGUUGAAAGUCAAAAUAUACUUUUAAAUUACAAAAAUAGAUUGUGUCUGUUUAGAAAUGUCUACAUAAGUCAUUAGUUCAGUUUCACCUAUAAAGUGUUAUUAACUAACUGUUUAGUUAUCACAUGUACCCACUUAAAACACAUUUCAGGGUUUUACUUCAGCGGGAUUAAUUUAGUCCAUGAACUGACACAUUAUUAGCAACUGGAGUGAAUUAGGCAUCAGCAGUACAUUCUUUUAAUUAAUUUUCUCCCAGAAUGAAUCCAGAUUUUGCAUUCAAAGACUGAUCUGUGUGAUAAAAAAAAAUUGCUAAAAAAUGCAAAGAUUAGAGAUUGAAAUGCUUAUGUACACACAUCCAUAGAAUACUUUCAAUUCUCAUUGUUAUCUAGUGAACCAGUCUGUUUGCCUAUCAUUUUAUGCUCAAGGCUAUAGGUAAUAAAGUUUUUAUUCUU